rnacentral:misc_RNA from 1 species
UACAGAGGCCCCAAGCAUUACCCGGAAUCACUGGGCGUAAAGGGUGUCACGGCGGCUCUAUUAGUCUCUCGUUAAAUCCGUGGGCUCAACCUGCGGCCGGCGAGGGAAACGGUAGAGCUCGAGGGCGCGAGAGGUAGAGGGAACUCAUGGUGGAGGGGUGAAAUCCGUUGAUAUCAUGGGGAACACCAAAGGCGAAGGCACUCUACUGGCGCGUUUCUGACGCUUACACACGAAAGCCAGGGUAGCGAACGGG